UACAGAGGUCUCAAGCGUUUGUUCGGAUUCAUUGGGGCGUAAAGGGUGCGUAGGCGGCGCGGUAAGUCGGGUGUGAAAUCUUGGAGCUUAACUCCGAAACUGCAUUCGAUACUGCCGUGCUUGAGGACUGGAGAGGAGACGUGGAAUUUACGGUGUAGCGGUGAAAUGCGUAGAUAUCGUAAGGAAGACCAGUGGCGAAAGGCGGGUCUC
rnacentral:rRNA from 1 species